CGCUAUGGUGUGCUAUGGACUGAUAUAGGGUGCUAUGGGGUGCUAUGGGGUGCUAUGGGGUAUUAUGGGGUGCUAUGGGACUUUAUGGAACGUUAUGGGGUGAUAUGGGAUGCUAUGGGGUGAUAUGGGACUUUAUGGGGUGCUAUGGGGUGCUAUGGGGUUAUAUGGGGUGCUAUGGGGCACUAUGGGGCUCUAUGAGGCUCUAUGAGGUGGGGUGAUGGGGUUAUGGGGUGACAGUGGGAUGGGGUGAUGGGAUUAUGAACCUGAACCCCAUUACGGCCCCACAGCUGCGAUCCCAUAUAAGAAUGAAGCACAAUUCCCUUAUUUUUUGGGGUGAAAUGGGGUGAAAUGGGGGCCGGAGGGGUUUAAUGGGGGCGGUUUUGGGGUGCUGUGAUGGAAUUUGGGGGAAGUUCGGACAAAAUGGGGGCGGUUUCUGCCCUAAAAGGAAAGAUCCCAUAACCGUCCCCUACACCGAAGGGCAAAAAUGUCCCAUUUCGGCCCCGAAAGGAAGAAGGAAAAGUCCCGUUUUGAACCCAAAAUGAUGGGGGGUGGGGGGAUGGGGUUAUGGGGUCAUGGCGUUAUGGGGUGAUGGGGUUAUGGGGUGAUGGGGUUAUGGGGUGACAAUGUUAUGGGGUGGCAGUGUGGUGGGGUGACAAUGUGAUGGGGUGAUGGGGUUAUGGGGUGACAAUGUGAUGGGGUUAUGGGGUUACAGUGUUAUGGGGUGACAAUGUUAUGGGGUGACAACGUGAUGGGGUUAUGGGGUGACAACGUGACGGGGUUGACAACAUCACGAUGGGGUGGUGGGGUUAUGGGGUGAACCCCAUUUGGGGUCUUCCCAGUUCAAUCCCAAAUGUAUUUGGGGUCUUCUCAGUUCAAUCCCAGUCCUAUUGGGGUCCUCCCAGUUCAAUCCCAAAUGCAUUUGGGGUCUUCCCAGUUCAAUCCCAGUUCAGUUGGGGUCUUUCCAGUUCAACCUCAAAUGCAUUUGGGGUCUUCUCAGUUCAAUCCCAGUCCUAUUGGGGUCCUCCCAGUUCAAUCCCAAAUGCAUUUGGGGUCCUCCCAGUUCAAUCCCAGUUCAAUUGGGGUCUUCCCAGUUCAAUCCCAGUCCUAUUGGGGUCCUCGCAGUUCAAUCCCAGUUCAAUUGGGGUCUUCCCAGUUCAAUUCCAGUUCAGUUGGGGUCUUCCCAGUUCAAUCCCAAAUGCAUUUGGGGUCUUCCCAGUUCAUUCCCAGUUCAGUUGGGGUCUUCCCAGUUCAAAACCAGUUCAUUUGGGGUCUUUCCAGUUCAACCCCAAAUGCAUUUGGGGUCUUCCCAGUUCAAUCCCAGUUCAAUUGGGGUCUUCCCAGUUCAACCCCAAAUGCAUUUGGGGUCUUCUCAGUUCAUUCCCAGUCCUAUUGGGGUCCUCCCAGUUCAAUCCCAAAUGCAUUUGGGGUCCUCCCAGUUCAAUCCCAGUUCAAUUGGGGUCCUCCCAGUUCAAUCCCAAAUGCAUUUGGGGUCUUCCCAGUUCAUUCCCAGUUCAGUUGGGGUCUUCCCCAUUCAUUCCCAGUUCAAUUGGGGUCUUUCCAGUUCAACCCCAAAUGCAUUUGGGGUCUUCCCAGUUCAAUCCCAGUCCUAUUGGGGUCUUCUCAGUUCACUCAUUCACUCAGUUCACUCUGUUGCUGUCGAAUUUGGGGUUGGGGUUAUGGGGUGUGGG
ensembl:lncRNA